CCUACGGGAGGCAGCAGUGAGGAAUAUUGGUCAAUGGCCGGAAGGCUGAACCAGCCAAGCCGCGUGAAGGACGAAGGUGCCAAGCAUUGUAAACUUCUUUUGUCAAGGGACAAAAUCAGGCUCGAGAGCCUGACCGAGGGUACUUGAACAAAAAGCAUCGGCUAAUUCCGUGCCAGCAGCCGCGGUAAUACGGAGGAUGCGAGCGUUAUCCGGUGUUAGUGGGUUUAAAGGGUGCGUAGGCGGACUGUUAAGUCAGCGGGAAAAGCCCGGGGCUAAACCCCGGCGGGCCGUUGAAACUGGCUGUCUUGAGAUGUCGAGAGGUAUGCGGAAUGCGCAGUGUAGCGGUGAAAUGCUUAGAUA
rnacentral:rRNA from 1 species